UCUUUGUUGCUAAUAAACUGAAAAUAGCCACACAAAUACUAACGUUUAUUUUUUCAAUCUUCCACUGGUACCCACUUCUCCCAUUAGUUAACUGGACAAUUUGAUUGAUCUGGUCAAUUCCAGUUUUUUUUUCCAUUAAAUUUCAUCUAUUAACAUUAAAAAAAAAAAAAAAAAAAAAACAACAAUUAAGAAAACAUGAAAAAUAUAAAAACAAAUAAGUCUCUUCUUGCUUGCUAAGCCCAGAACUCGAACCAAAAAUCCUCCCACUAGAAAUCUCACGACGUGAAAUCGAGACCUAGUAAUCGAACCCCCUUCCCACGACAACCACUAAUGAGUAGCUUGAAAGGUGAUGUGUCUUUUACGCAAUCAAGAAGAAAAAUACAUCCAUGGAAGAGUUUGUAUGGUGUAUCAAAAGGAAGGAAGAAAAUUGUUCGUUCUUAUGGUAUAUCAUGGGUAAAAAGAAUAUUGUGGACGGAGAAUAACCCAGCCGCCUAUCGAUUUAUAAAUUGUCAAUAUAUUCAAUGAUGAGGGUGGCUGUGAGGUGUAGACAAGUGAUUUUUGGACUUUUGAAAAAUGUGAAUGAGCUUGUGCAUCAAUUAAUUUUUUAUGAAGGAUAGGAACAACUGAUAAACAAGAGAGGGAUGUAUGGAAGACGUUCAUGGCUGUAAAUGUCAUUAGUGGGUGUUAUAAAAUUUGAAACAUAUUGUGCUGAUUAUUUCUGGUGUUGCUGUUGUAAUAUUUAUGGUAAAUUAGUUUUAUAAUUUCAUUGUAAAUCUAGGAUAUGGCUGAGGUAAAGUUUGGAUUUCAUGCUUUUUAUUUUGUAAUUGUAAUGCCAUGGAAAGUGAUUUGGUAUUUGAUCUUAUCUUGCAUUUUGACUAUUUUUGGAGCAUGACAAUCUUAUUUUGUCUAUUGUUUUUUUUUUCAUUGUGAUUGAUUUCAAAUUAGGAAAGAGUUUCUCAGAUUGUGGUUUCUUAAAGAGAUUUAUACAUUAUAAUAUGCACUAUCAAUUAGUAAAAUAAUAGUUACAGUAGGAGAUUUGUACAUUACAUUUUGUAUUAUGAAUAAUGUUUCUAAUAUUUCAAAAUCUUAUAUAUUGUGAUUGGAUACAAACUUUCCAAUAUAUCAGUUCAAAUAUAAAUGAGAGUACUUCACACACAUUAUACCAGUUGUUCAUAAAUGAUUGUCGACAGAAUAAAGUUCGAUUUUUGGAUUUGGAAGGGUUUUUGGUUCAGUUCUGAGUUUAGUAAGUAAGAUGAGAAAUUUAGGGGUUUAGAUUUAGUUUUAAAUAGCUUCAGCUUUUAUUUUAGUUUUCUGAAAUGUUUGUUUGUUAUAGAUGAUAUUUAAUGAAAAAAACAAAGUUGGAAUUAACCACAUUUGUCCAUGUAUCCAGUUAACUAACAAUAAAUUGGAAAAACAAGCUUUUGAAUAUUAGUGCCGCUAUUUUCAAAUUAGACACUUAUUAGGAACAAAUCAAAAGAAAAUAAA